rnacentral:rRNA from 1 species
UACGUAGGGUGCGAGCGUUGUCCGGAUUUAUUGGGCGUAAAGAGCUCGUAGGCGGUUUGUCGCGUCGGCCGUGAAAUCUCCACGCUUAACGUGGAGCGUGCGGUCGAUACGGGCAGACUUGAGUUCGGUAGGGGAGACUGGAAUUCCUGGUGUAGCGGUGAAAUGCGCAGAUAUCAGGAGGAAUACCGAUGGCGAAGGCAGGUCUCUGGGCUGACACUGACGCUCAUGCACGAAAGCGUGGGGAGCAAACAGG